UACGGGGGGAGCAAGCGUUGUUCGGAUUUACUGGGCGUAAAGGGCGCGUAGGCGGCCACCGCAAGUCAGUUGUGAAAUCUCUGGGCUUAACCCAGAAAGGUCAACUGAUACUGCGGGGCUAGAGUGCAGAAGGGGCAUCUGGAAUUCUCGGUGUAGCGGUGAAAUGCGUAGAUAUCGAGAGGAACACCUGCGGCGAAGGCGGGUUGCUGGGCUGACACUGACGCUGAAGCGCGAAAGCUAGGGGAGCGAAUGGG
rnacentral:rRNA from 1 species